GAUGAACGCUGGCGGCGUGCCUAAUACAUGCCAGUCGAGCGAACGGACGAGAAGCUUGCUUCUCUGAUGUUAGCGGCGGACGGGUGAGUAACACGUGGAUAACCUACCUAUAAGACUGGGAUAACUUCGGGAAACCGGAGCUAAUACCGGAUAAUAUUUUGAACCGCAUGGUUCAAAAGUGAAAGACGGUCUUGCUGUCACUUAUAGAUGGAUCCGCGCUGCAUUAGCUAGUUGGUAAGGUAACGGCUUACCAAGGCAACGAUGCAUAGCCGACCUGAGAGGGUGAUCGGCCACACUGGAACUGAGACACGGUCCAGACUCCUAAGGGAGGCAGCAGUAGGGAAUCUUCGACAAUGGGCGAAAGCCUGACGGAGCAACGCCGCGUGAGUGAAGAAGGUCUUCGGAUCGUAAAACUCUGUUAUUAGGGAAGAACAUAUGUGUAAGUAACAGUGCACAUCUUGACGGUACCUAAUCAGAAAGCCACGGCUAACUACGUG
rnacentral:rRNA from 1 species